UACGGAGGUGGCGAGCGUUGUCCGGAUUUACUGGGCGUAAAGAGCGCGCAGGCGGUUGUGCAAGUCAGAUGUGAAAGCCCCCGGCUCAACUGGGGAGGGUCAUUCGAUACUGCUCGACUUGAAGGCGGGAGAGGGAAGCGGAAUUCCCGGUGUAGUGGUGAAAUGCGUAGAUAUCGGGAGGAACACCAGUGGCGAAGGCGGCUUCCUGGGCCGUUCUUGACGCUGAGGCGCGAAAGCUAGGGGAGCAAACGGG
rnacentral:rRNA from 1 species